GAUGAACGCUGGCGGCGUGCCUAAUACAUGCGAGUCGAGCGAACAGACGAGGAGCUUGCUCCUCUGAUGUUAGCGGCGGACGGGUGAGUAACACGUGGAUAACCUACCUAUAAGACUGGGAUAACUUCGGGAAACCGGAGCUAAUACCGGAUAACAUGUUGAACCGCAUGGUUCAACAGUGAAAGACGGUCUUGCUGUCACUUAUAGAUGGAUCCGCGCCGCAUUAGCUAGUUGGUAAGGUAACGGCUUACCAAGGCAACGAUGCGUAGCCGACCUGAGAGGGUGAUCGGCCACACUGGAACUGAGACACGGUCCAGACUCCUACGGGAGGCAGCAGUAGGGAAUCUUCCGCAAUGGGCGAAAGCCUGACGGAGCAACGCCGCGUGAGUGAAGAAGGUCUUCGGAUCGUAAAACUCUGUUAUUAGGGAAGAACAAAUGUGUAAGUAACUAUGCACGUCUUGACGGUACCUAAUCAGAAAGCCACGGCUAACUACGU
rnacentral:rRNA from 1 species